CGGGUGAGUAACGCGUGGAAAACCUGCCGUAUACUGGGGGAUAACACUUAGAAAUAGGUGCUAAUACCGCAUAAGCGCACAGCUUCGCAUGAAGUGGUGUGAAAAACUCUGGUGGUAUACGAUGGUUCCGCGUCUGAUUAGCUUGUUGGUGGGGUAAUGGCUCACCAAGGCGACGAUCAGUAGCCGGACUGAGAGGUUGACCGGCCACAUUGGGACUGAGAUACGGCCCAGACUCCUACGGAAGGCAGCAG
rnacentral:rRNA from 1 species